CCUUUUUGUGUCCACAUGCCAACGUUAGGAAUUCAAAUCACCCACCCGAGUGCUACAUACACUCAGAAAAAAAUCCUGAUUCCAAAGCGGUCGGCUUUGCUCCCCUUCCCUGCUCUGCUCCGCCGGCGCUCCUCUCCUCCCCUCGCCCCGCCGGGCCGCGCGGCGAACCAAAGCGAGGCCGGAACCUGGGAUCCGCGGACGACGCGCGCCACGAUGCAGAAGCUGGCCGUCGUCGGCACCGGGGAGGGCGGCGAGGAUGAGUACGCGAUGCUGGAAACGCUCAUGAUGCAGGGGGAGUCCGCCUCGGUAGGAGCACCUCGCUUCGAUGGCAAAGACUUCCAAAUGUGGCAGGCUCGGAUGAAGACCCACCUGCAGGCCUUUAACCUUCUUGUGUGGAGCAUCGUGGAGACCGGUUUCUCUUGUGCGGAUGAAGCAAACCCAACGGCGCUCGAACUGAGGAACAUCCAUUGCAAUGCCCAAGCUAUGAACGCCAUAUACUGUGCCCUGAGUGAUGAUAAGCUCUACCGGAUCUGGCACCUUGACAGUGCUAAGGAGGUCUGGGACACUCUCCAGGUUAUACAUGAAGACACCCCAAUCGUUCGCGAGUUCAAAGUCAAACGGUUGAGGGAGAAGAUGAAGUUGUUUGCGUGGAGGAAGCACGAGCUGCCCACUGUCAUGUAUGUGAGGCUCGAGAAUUUGGCCGCUGAGAUGAGGCGCCUUGGAUGCCAGGAGGUGACAGAUUCUUAUGUUGUGAGGAAGAUGCUUUGUGCCAUGGCACCAAGGAACUCAAGCUUUGAGGCCAUCAUCCGUGAGAGGCCUAACUUUGAAGAACUCACCCCUCUGGAUGUGCUCAAUAGUUUCCAGGUCCACGACAUGUGGCAACAAGAAUCCAAAAUCAUCCGCGAGUACGAGGCGAAGGUGGACACUACCGUGCGGAGCGAGCCCUCCUACGAUGCACAUUGCUCCGGGGAAGUGCCUUACUUCGAUGGCACACACUACCUAUCAUGGCAGCAUAGGAUGAAAUUCCAUUUGCUUAGCAUUCACCCUCUUCUGUGGAGAAUUGUGGAGACUGGUUUCUCUUGUGUGGAUGAAGCAAAUCCAACAGCUCUUGAAAAGAGGAAUCGGCAGUACAACGCCCUAGCUAAUGGCGCCUUAAGUGAAGCCUUGAGUCGUGAUCAGUUCAUGAGGAUUCGCAACUAUAAGAGUGCUAAGGAGAUUUGGGAUGCUCUCCGAAAAUUUAAUGGAGCACUUCGUGAGUCAAAGCUUGGUUUAUUGAGGAUACAUAUGGACAGGUUUGCCUUAGGAAAACAUGAGUCCCCCAAUGACAUGUAUGCAAGGCUCAAUGAUUUGGUCAAUGAGAUGAAGGGUCUUGGGUGCAAAGAGAUGACCGAUUCCUAUGUUGUGAGGAAGAUGCUUCGUGCCAUGGCACCAAGGAAUCCAAACUUGGUUUUCCUCAUCCGUGAGAAGCCUAACUUUGAACUACUCACCCCUCAGGAUGUGCUUGCAGCAUUCUUCCUCUACAAUAUGGAUCAGAAACAAUACAAAAUCUCGAGUGGCUUAUCAUCCCAUGGGCUAGGAGUGAUGUCUUGAACCAUUCAAAACUUGUAGUUCCAAACCGAUAAUAACUUCCCAAUGUAAGAAGCAUGGACGUAUCCAGGCGGCAUCAUCGAGAAAGCGGAAGAAAACUGAGGAGAUAGUAGCAAGCACCAAGCAGCCAGAUCACGACGAGAGAGAGGGCAAAUCUUCCUUGAUGCCAACCCCUCUGUAAGCUAUAACUGAGUGGUCUUCCCACUCUGCUUUGCACUUGGAGUUUGUAUCUGACCUGUGUUGAUCAUGGACCUGCUCUUGCUGUUUCUCUCCCUGCGAAUAAUUUGUCUCUGUGGAUGCUAGCUGUUGCUUAAAUGUUUCUGCUUAGCUCCCUGGGUUUUGUACACCGACGUGUUUCUAUCGCCAGCUUCACAGUUCCGAUAGCUUCGUCAUCUCUGCUUUUGCAUAAUUCUGCUUGUAAGAUGUGGACGAAUUAUAUAAGCUUCCUUGGAUAUAAUUUGUCGUAUCAUCUUGGUCGCUACACUUUGUGAGAUAUUUUUGCUGUUGGGAUGAAGUACUCCGAUCUUGAAUUAUAAAAGCUGCUGCUUGGAUGAUGAA